GGCCUGGUAGCGCAGUGGUUAGCGCGCCCGAUUCACACUCGGGAGGGCGCGGGUUCAAAUCCCGGAUGAGGUCA